GAAAUCUAGCUACAAUAAGGAUUCAGAGAAGGGGGACAAUUUAAAGCUAGCAUUUUUCAAAGAAGAGUCUGAAGAAAAAAUGCUAUUCAUGCAGGGUUGUGAAAUCUGGAUUGGGUUUGAAUAGUUGAGAUGAAGAAGGGAGCUAUUAAAGCUGAAAAGAGUAAAGAAGCAAAGGUGAGUAGACGUCAACGAGUAACAGUGAAGACCUAGCCGUGCCUGGAGUAAAUUAAGGUGAUCUAUGUCUCCGGCUUUCCAAGACUUUAGCUGCAGUCUCACUAGCCAGAGCUGUCUCAUUACAGGAGAUGUGGUCCAGUCUGUGAAAUGUUUAUUUUGUAACUAACCCCUCUAGCAGUGGAGGGAACUGUUUACUAUUCCUUCUUGUUCUCUAGUGUGUGUAUGUGUGGUUUUUUUUUUCUCUUAAUUAAAGAAUCACUGUUGAACUUCAGAAACCUCUCCAGGAAGAAAAAAAUAAAAAGAAGGAAAAAAGAGAGAGAGAGAAAGAACAGAGGGAAGAAAAAGAGAGAAAGAGAAGAGAAAAUAGGGUUGAAAACUGUGUCUUUUGCUCAUUCAUUCUUAAGGAUUAUUUCCAGAAGAAGAAUUGUAAUAUUCAUUGACCUCCCCAGGAGUGUGUGUACAUGAAAAUGUGUGCGAAUGUUUGUGUGCAGGCCCGAGUAGGAAACAGUGCUAUGUAAACAGUGUCAAUGUAUCUAUCCCACCAACUAACAUUCAAAGUUUUCUUUGUUAAUGAUAUUCUGAAGGAGAAUAAAAGAUGGAACCUGAUUCUAUCCCAUACAAACAAAAAUUACACAAGCCAGUAGGAAAAUCUAAAUUCUGAAUUUGGUUGGAUUUCAUUUGAGCUUGCAAAAUUAUUAGGCAAUGGCAUACUGUUUGAAGGGAAUGUUUGUCUUUUCAUUCUAGCCAGCAGCAAAUAAUCCCAAAGGAGGUAAACAUCUAAAAGAAAGGAAUGAAAACAGGUUUUAUUUAUAAAUGCCUCACUGUUGGAACCUGCAUGAAUGAAAGCUGAAUCUCAAAGAUCAGACACGUUGGACUUGGAAUAAUGUCCAUGUUAUGAUUCCAAUCUGUGCCUAAAUCUGAACCACUCAGUUCUUCAUGCUUGUUGGAAUCCUCCUAAAAUUGGAAUUUCCUGGGAGAUAUCCAGUACUUUUUGGGCUGUAAACAGCAAAACAAACAGCCUUUCUUGUAAUAUGCUACGUCUAGUGCUAACUGAAUUCAAGAAGUUUAUGAGUGUGGGGAAAGUAACUUGAUGUCUUUGCAAACUUACAAAUUUGCUUCAGUUUAAAUUUUGACCAAAAAUUCAUCUCAGGAAUAUGUUUUGGAAUAAUUCUUUGCUAUUAGUUAUAAAUGUGACAAAUAUCGUUUAAACAAUAAAAUAUUAUUUUAUACAACAAAUUAUGGCAACAAAUUCCUUGUAGUGAUAGAUUUUUUAAAAUCUUUAAAUCAUAGAUAGGGAUUUAUUAUGCUCCAUGUCAAUUAUAUGCAUGUUUGUGUGUAUAUGUGUGUAUAUGUGUGUGUAUAUAUAUUUCACUUAAUCUCUGAGAACAGUCUGAAUUUUUAUGUUUCUCUAUUGUAUAUAAUUGAAAAACAUAAGACAAAGAAAUCACUUAUUAGUACGUUGAUAGAUAAACGUGCUUGAUGCCAAAUAUAGACACACAAAAUACACUUAAUUCUUCUGUAAGAACUCUUAAACAUCUAUGAGAAACAUCUUAUCAAAUUGAUUUCCCCCUUUCUCCUUAGUAAAAAAAUCCUGACGUUUUUAGGUUGACACAAUGCCACUCAGCUAAACAAUGACAUUUCCCAGACUCCUUUGUGUUUAAGUGUGGCCGUAUAACUAGGUUGUGCCCAAAGACAAUUAAGUAUAACUGUUGGGUAUAAUUUUUCUGAAAAGUCUCCUUAAAAAUAUGACGGUUUUUCCUUGCUUUCUUUUUUUCCUUGUUAUUUAGAGUACGAGUAUUGUAUCUGUAGCUCCAGCAGCCAUCUUGGACCAGAAUAUGAUGGUCUGGAGAAUGUAAGCCAUGUGCAGAAUGAUACUUACAGACAAGGGACUGUGUACUUCAUUGAACCGUAAAGCUGCCAUAGUUGCCUUGGAUACUCUCCUUGUGGACACCUUUUCCUGUAUAAACUCACUUGGUCCUCCACAGUAAACUACAAACAUUUUUCUUUGCCGUUAUCUGCCUUCUUGCUCCCUUUUGUGAAGUGUGGUCCC
rnacentral:lncRNA from 1 species